rnacentral:rRNA from 1 species
GUCCAAAGUAUUUAUCGCCGAGGGAUGAGCCCGCGUAGGAUUAGCUUGUUGGUGGGGUAAUGGCCCACCAAGGCGACGAUCCUUAGCUGGUCUGAGAGGAUGAUCAGCCACACUGGGACUGAGACACGGCCCAGACUCCUACGGGAGGCAGCAGGUGGGGAAUAUUGGACAAUGGGCGAAAGCCUGAUCCAGCAAUGCCGCGUGAGUGAUGAAGGCCUUAGGGUUGUAAAGCUCUUUUACCAGGGAUGAUAAUGACAGUACCUGGAGAAUAAGCUCCGGCUAACUCCGUG